AGGAAUAUUGGGCAAUGCCCGCAAGGGUGACCCAGCAACGCCGCGUGGAGGAUGAAUGUCGUAAGAUUGUAAACUCCUGUUAGAGGGGAAGAAUAGUACCGGUUGGACCGGUAUAUGACUGUACCCUCAGAGAAAGCCCCGGCUAACUACGUGCCAGCAGCCGCGGUAAUACGUAGGGGGCAAGCGUUGUCCGGAUUUACUGGGUGUAAAGGGCGCGCAGGCGGGAUAAAAAGUCAGUGGUGAAAUCCUACAGCUUAACUGUAGAACUGCCUUUGAUACUUUUAUUCUUGAGUUCGGGAGAGAGAGACUGAAUUCCAGGUGUAGUGGUGAAAUACGUAGAUAUCUGGAAGAACACCAGUUGCGAAGGCGGUCUCUUGGUCCGACACUGACGCUGAGGCGCGAAAGCGUGGGGAGCAAACA
rnacentral:rRNA from 1 species